rnacentral:SRP_RNA from 1 species
GGCCAGGUUCCAUACGAUAGAGCUUUCAGCGAAUUCCGCUAGAUCCGGAAGGAAGCAACGGCAACUGCGAGACUAUGUGAUAUGGAGUGCCUGGCCACU